AUCCCGUCAGCAUGGCGUCGGGCUUCAUCGGAGCGCGAGAGGGGGUCUGUUUCUGUCUUUGGUUAUCUAGCUGUAUGAGUUUUAAAUGCCUGUCAUAAAGCUAGAUAACCGAAAGUAGAAAUGACUCCCGGAACGUUGUGUUCAUCCCCGAAAGACGCGGGACUCCUCGAGCUUCCAACUGGGAAAAAGGCUUCCAAUAUACGACAUUGAAUGAUCGUGGAUCCCUGAAAAGAGGCUCGAGCCAUCGUUGAAAGAAAAGGAAGCGAGAGCUGAGGGGAAAACGGUCGGUCCGGAAUUGCUACCUCCUCCUCCUCCUCCACCCCCAUUAGUCGUCCUUUUUGCCCAAGAGCCUCUAAUGCCAUCUGUGCUGCCAACGGGGGUUGGAGGGGAGGGGGCGGAUUCUGCCCGUGCCAGGACGCGGACAAAGACCCUUCCGGAUCCCCGGAGCACGGGCACGCUCAGAGGAGCCAUCUUGGGGAGAUGUUGCCGCGACACCUAAAAUGGCAGGCUGGCACACCGAGGUGAGCGGCACCACGGUUUUCUGCCCGGGUACCAGUGGGGAUGGCGGUGGGCAGCGGGGAGUGCGGGGGGGGCGUUUGAUGGGGGAUGGGGGCAGGAGGAAGGACGAGGGAAAUAAGAUGAGUUUCCUCUUUCCUCCCCAGUCACACAUGGCCUCCCCCUUUUCUCUUCCAUCUUCUGCUUCUGCUAAUUAGCAGUUACGGGGUGAUUCGAGGGAGGCGGGUGAGGGAAGGGUGGUGGUAGUUGGUGCUGGGAGAGGGGGGUGGAGGGGUUGGGGGGCUGGGUAGCAAACAAAAUUAAUGAGCUGGCACUGGUUGAAGGAAACCUGCCAUCCUCCCUUGUCAUGGUGGUUCUUUACUCCGCGAUGGAAGCCAGGCGAUGGCGUACAUUUUAUUUCCACCCGACAAACCUUGUGGAUGAAUUCAUGCAAAACUGCUUUUAUUGUGUGAUUUACAUUAUGGUGUUUAGUAUUAUCUUGUCUUAAUGUUCUCAGGUGAAUUCUGUAGAGGAGGCGACACUGAGAUAAUAACUAUUUGGGUAAUUGCAUUUUUAUUUUUUUAUUAGUAGAACCAUUACAGUUUUAGAUUUAGUUUACUUUAUGAACAAAUGUGUUUUAGCUCACAAAGCAGCUGUAGUGAUGUCAGGACGGACAAUUUUCAGGACAGUUUGAGGGCUUUAAAUGGCAUUUUUGAUGGAGUUAAAUUACCGCAUAUAUUUAGUAUCUCAAAUCAUCUCGGCAAUUAUUCCUAAACGUUUCAUGACUGCAACUCCAUUCGUAUAACUCCGCUACUGCAACGGCACGCACGGCAGACACAGAAAAUGUCAAAUCAGUGAUGUAAAAAGACCCCGUCUUUCCCAAAUCUGAUCAAACAAACCGACAAAACCAACUCGGGGUCUGCCGCAUAUCAAAGCUCCAAAUCUUUACCUCUCCCAUCCCUGUAACCUCUCACACACAGACGGGGGCGGACACACAAAGCUCCUGUAACCGCUGCUCGUCAUGGAGCGGAGCUGCUCGCUAUAAGAAAGUGACACGUGAGCAUGUGGGUGUGUGUGUGUGUCCGGGGCCAACAUGUGCAGCUGCAGCGCUGCCUGUGUGUUAAUGAACAGCGCUGUGCAUUUUCACAUUAUCAUUCAGCCCCGCUCUCUCCCCUCUCAAUAGCUGUUUAGUCCCCCACACCCUCCUCCAUCCCCCACCCCUCCGCCCUCAGUAAAGGCCUGCUUUCCCACCAUUGUGGGAGCUGGUGCAGCGGCGGGCCCGGGCUGGGGGGCAGGGUGGGAAAGACCCUCCAGACUAGACAUGAGCAGAUGCCUGAGACAUUAGACUGUCGUGCGGAUCACCGGGGUCGGGCGAGCUGCUGAGUUUUAAUGUGUGAGCGAGUGUAUGUGCGUUUGAUAUGUGUGAUGGCGGGGCGGGGAGGGGGGGGGGGGGGUGGCGGCGGUUCAGGGGCCCUGGAGUGCCACCUGACUAUUCAUUAGUCCUUUCAGCCUCCUCUGCAUGUCUGGAAGGCAUGUAGAUGCUGUUUUGAGAAGGAUCUUGCUGCAUUCAGACAUGACGUGCAUAUAGAGGCUCGGGGGCCGGCACCCUGUCUUUUACCAGCUGGAUGUGCUUUGUCCUUCUUGCAAACACAAUCCACGUGUCUGUGUCACACUCAGUCGGGGAAACAGACAGACGGGCAUCACAGAAAUAUCACAAGACAGCCAGAAACAGGGAUUCACCGGGAAUGACUAAGCUAAGGCGGCGGGUGCGCCCAACAAGCUGAAUGAUGUAACCUGCGGAUAAUGAUUAUUAAUCAGCCUCGUAAUGUACAUGUGCUUCCCCAAAAUAUGCGAGGCAGCCCCACAUGUCAAAAGAUCAUUCCCUCUCUUCAUAUAAAAGACUCCGAGCUGCCUUCAUACCGGUAAUUGCAUUCUCACUGCUCCUCUGUGGUAUGCAUGCGCAUUGCUCCGGGCAGAUUUGACAGAGGCAAAAAAGAAAGAAAGCAAGGUGAAGGCGAGAAAUGAAUCAUGGCGAUAGUGUAGCUCGCUUAAUGCUACGUGUCUGUUGCAGAUCUCCAUGGUAAAAGAGGAGCAGAGGGCGGGCAUGUGAAACGUGGCCUUCUGUAAGUCAGACUGCUGACGCAUCGAGAAAGGGUUAAAGACAACGGAGACAGACGUAUGCGCGCCGGAGGCAGGUGUUGCAAGCCUGUUUUUUUUUUUUUUGCCACCCGUGUCAAUGCCACAUCUGCUGAGCUCGCGUUAGCUAGUGCCGUGCCCUGCUGAAGCAAUUUGCAACCCCGCAAGGAUCUGCGAGCGCAUGCGAUGGCUGCAGCAGUCAACAGAGACCGGGUGGUCAAAGACGGCCGGGGACUGAAGGAAAUCUGGCAGUAAAAUGUAUUUGUUCUUACUAUGCGUGUUAGCAGAGGGAUCAAUAUUACUAGGGUGUAAAAAAAAAUACACACAACAUAUUUAUUUAUUUAUCUGUUGAUUACUACUGCUUAUUCUGACUAAUUGCAAUAUGCAGCUUGACAUAAAAUGAGAGUUAGGGAAAACAAUUGGUUUUAACCUGUUUUAAUCCAGAGCGUCUGAACAGUGGGUUUUAGCUUCCUGGACGCCGUGUCAGGAGAAUUUAGGAUGUGAACGUCCCUGAAUAUUCCUCUGCACGCUGUAGACACAGUCGCUUAAAUAUUCAUGCUUCAAUUUCUUCUUGUAAAUUACCUUAAAACCAAACUAAAAAAUGGAUCUCGCCUUCAUAAAAUGACAUAAGUAUAGAUGAUUACCUUCCUUUCUUUUUGUCUUCCUUUGUUAUUUAUUUAUAACUAUCUGGGAUUUCAGUGCAAGAAAAUUAUAAUGUGUGACAUGAUGAAGGGACAGAAGCCGGCGCCCGCUUCCAAUUUCGUGUGGGUGAAGCGGCGUAGCCAUAGUAGCGAUAAAAUGUUAAUACCAUACAGCUCCUGGGUUACCUCUUUGGAUUCUCCUCCCUGUGUGUGGACACUAUUAAUGUUUUAACGGCUCGACUGUGAUUUAUAAAGCCGGGGCUCGGGGGGCCCGCCCAUAGUCUUGGAUGAGGUCCAAUGUGGGUCAAGCGGGGAUCAUCUGGGGGUUUUUAAUGUAACUUUGGCCGAGACUAAUCUAGCACAAAGCCUGACAUUAAGUAUCUUAGAAGAAGAUGGAGAGAAGUUCCUACAUCACGGGCUUUUCAGAUUACGUCUGUUGGCCGCGGCGUCCUGAGUAGGGGUCCCGUACGCUCCAAUGAAAGUAGAGGAGAAUUAGGUGACUGAGCCUUUAAUACAGCGGCCCUUUGUAAUCAUAUCAGGAGGAGAUGAGGUUCUAGGGUGAGGAGAAUUAGGGGAAUCCUUGAUGUGACCUCAUUUUUCAUUUAUUUGUUACUCUACUACUCUACUGGUACAGUAUGUGAAUUUGAUACCAGGCUAAGGGUUGAAAAGAGUGUGCUCAUCCUCGUGAUACAUACGACUCCAUCACACAAGUUCAAGUUCAUGGCUGCAGUCGCUCUGUCUGCGGCCAGUCGGGGAGUGAUUGGGGAGUCUGUGACCACCCUGCAGUGCAGGGGGAGGAGGAGGAGGUGGAGGUGGUGGUUGACUGGGUGGAUGGGGGGUACAUGGUCUUUGACCUCUGUUCGGGUUGCUAUGGGAAAGAGGCCGGCCGGCUCAGUAAUGUACGAGUGAAAAGGCCGAACUGUCAGAGCUGUCCAGCAGACGUCAACCCCCCACCACACACACACAGACACACACGCACACACACGCACGUUAACGCUAACCCAUUCACGCAUACUCACAGAUGGCACGGGCCAGCUUGGGAAUGUUAGCUGCGAGAGAACGCUUUAUGUUCAUCAGACACCAUUAUAAUUCAUCCAGCCUUUAGAGUUACGCAUUAGCAGUCUACACCUCUUCCUCAGAGCCGCUAUUGUGUUGAUCCACUUGUGUCCCAUUUUUCAGCCUCAUCCUACACAUCUGAACAGCCGUUGUGUGCUGUGGACUUAUGGGCUUAUAAAACAGCAAACAUACCACAGCUUUGGUGAAGUACAAUAACUUCUUACAUUGAAAAGAAAGAGCUUGGUCUCCUUUUUUUUUUUAGAAGUUCUACAAAUAAAAUCAGCCAUAAAAAAAGACUUUCAAACUAAAACUCAAAGAUAGCACAAGGUUUUCGAUCAAGAGUCCAUUCGCUGCAACACACGCCUCCAUUUCUUGUGUUGUAUUUUUUCCAUUUAGAUAAACUGCCUGUAUAGGAAUAUAUAGAUAAAAUAAUCUGUGGCAUCAGUUGAGAAUAUAUUUCUGUCUGCUCGUUUCAGAAUCGCCUGUGUUCAAUGUUUAAGUGGCUGGGUGUCAGAGAGGCCAUGCAAAUCUACUGAUUGUAAUAUGUGCAUGUUUCCAUGCCCCCUCUGUAAACGUGUGCAAGUGUGUCCUCAUUUAAGGUUGCAUUCACCCAGGAAUAAAAGAGCACAUAUUUGCAUACGCUGCAUGCUGUCUGCAGAGAGGGAGCAGUCAAAAAAAGAUAUCAGAGGUGGACAAAGGGAACGAGGACAAAUCCUUCAUUGUGGUGUUGGUGGGAGAAAAGCCUUGUCUGAAUUGGGGAGUGGGUGAAAAUUGACAGAGAAAGAGUUUGGGCUGGUUCCCUGUGGGGAUAAAAGCCUUAAGAUCCCCCCCAUGCAUACAGCCUGAAAAUGGGAGAGAAGAACAACACGCAGAGCGCAGGGGCCUAUUUUGACAGGGCAUGAAAGGAAAGUUUGUUUUUAUGAAACACUGCCUACAAUUUCUGAUGUGCAGAACUAAACCUCAUGCCCAACAACAGAUUUAGUUGUUUGUUUGCAGAGUGUUAGGCAGUGUCAGGAUCAUUGUGCCCCUUAAACAUAUCACUCGCUUUGAUAUGUCUGCACCUUCAUGUGUUGGGGGGGGGUUUAAUCUUUUUAAAACAACAAAUGUUCAAAGCCAUGUGUGAUAUAAAAAGGUUUUUUUAAAUAAUAAAACUUAUUUUGAAUGCUUCAUCUUCUAGUUCUCGACAAAUGUUCUCUGGUGCUAUAUUCUCAGUAUGAAUGUCAAUGAUCCUCCAGAAAGUAUGUAUUGCAGUGGGGGAAAAAACGUACUUCUUUCUUUUGAAUCGGUAUUAUUUGCAGAGGCGAGUGUUUAUGGAACAAAGUUUUAUUCUCAUGCUGAUGACUCCCUCUAUCGUUUAUUCCCAGGACGGGGAACAGGAUCGGCCUCUCUGCGCUCUGAAGGAACCUGCUUGGGCGCGAGGACAUGGACCAAACUCAACGAAAUACUGUCUUCAGAAAGUCUCAACAGAGAUCAUCAGUCACCUAAACGAGGAGAGCAGCCCUGUGUGGCAAAGGACAUGUAGAAAGAAAAGAGCUACUGUACAAGCUGGAAAUGUGCCUGUUAUCCAUGUUCAUGAUAUUGUAUUAAUGUGUGUGAUACAUAUACAUUAUUUUAAAAAUUGCAGAAAACUUGUUCUCACCGAUAUAUCUAAAGUGCAUCUACAUGUUUUAAUUAAUAAUUUAUGAAACUGCUGUUCUCAUAUGUCUGAAUUGAAAUAGGAAUUUAUAAGACUGGAGUGCAUUACUGAAAAAGCUGAUUGUAUUUCUUCUUUGAAUUAAAUCGAUAAUGAAAAUAUUUUCAUCUCUGUGUUACAAUCGUGCUUUUGAGCAAUUAUUUCAGUGAUAAAUUAGGAAGGGAAACAAUAAAUUAUUACAAUGCGGACAUCCUAAAGAAUGUGUUUUCAUGUUGAAUGUUUUCAACAGCACUUUGUCUUUAAUCUUCAAUAAAAAAAUGAACAAGGAUCGAUCUAAAACAGACAGUAUACGGAGUCAAGCCGGCUGGACCUUUUCUCUGCCGGCUUUCUGUUUUUAGAUUCAAAUGGUAAUUUCUGUGAGGAUCGUGCGAGGCGGUCUUUGAGUGACCCCACAUUAAGGUUUAAUUAGGAGGAGCAGACGGGGGGUUGUGUGUUGAUCAGUGUGGGAAAAGAGAAAUUCACUGCCUGAACUGUCUACACUGCGGAAAUAGACAUUCACUCUGUUCAUAUCGGCUGCGAAAAAUGAUACGGCUAAAUAACAGGAGUGUUAUAUUUGGAAAGGUUUCUUUUUACUGCUCAGCAGGCACGAUGUAUCGGGGAUUACAGGCAGUCAAACAACAGAUGCUCCUGCUUCUUAUGAGAGAUUAUCUCUGUCUCUAGGACACAAAUUAUUUCCUCUCCAUUGAAAUGAUGCCUUAUCUUAGAUUCAGA
ensembl:lncRNA